GGUGCUGGUGGAGGUUCAUCAUUGUGGCUGUGGGUGUAGCAACACUCAUAACAGCUGCUGUGGUCAUCCACAUUUGGACAAGAUCGGCAGGGAAUAAAAGUUCAGCCGUAUCAAAAUGAGGUAUGUAAUGAUGAAAAUUUCGACAGUGAAAUAUGGAAGUAGAAGAUCUGAUGGACACUGACUGAUCCUUCUGCGUCUGUCAGACUUCAGUAAUGUGAUGGAAAAUGUUAAGAUUCUGUGCUUCUCUUUGUUAUACAGGCCUAACUGAAAUGAA